rnacentral:lncRNA from 1 species
AAACUAAACUUCAGCAAAGACCCAUUAGCAAAAUAUGAACGUACUCACUCCCAAGCAACAAAUAUCAUCUGAGCAUCAACAAAAAAAAAGAUAACAGAAAAGCAUGAAGAAUGAAAAUAUACGUGAAAAACAUGGUAACCAAACCUGAAAAUCCCUCCCUCAGCUGGGCGUUUUUAGGCUGCAACCCUCAGAAGAACGGGCUCCUCCCGCAACUCCCUUUCCUGACCCUCCUUUUCUUUCCUCUGUUUGUGUCUUCCUCAGCAAGCCAUCCUCGGCUGCUGCUACACGUCCCAUCUGGUCGCCCCGAGAGUAGCCCACCAUCAGUCCCCUUCAGCCGCCUGAAAGCAGCCCACUUGAG